CACGUAGGGUGCGAGCGUUGUCCGGAAUUAUUGGGCGUAAAGAGCUCGUAGGCGGUGUGUCGCGUCGGCCGUGAAAACCUGCAGCUUAACUGUGGGCUUGCGGUCGAUACGGGCAUCACUGGAGUUCGGCAGGGGAGACUGGAAUUCCUGGUGUAGCGGUGAAAUGCGCAGAUAUCAGGAGGAACACCGGUGGCGAAGGCGGCGAUCUGGGAAGAUACUGACGCUGAGGUGCGAAAGCGUGGGGAGCAAACAGG
rnacentral:rRNA from 1 species